rnacentral:rRNA from 1 species
UACGGAGGGGGCAAGCGUUGUCCGGAUUCACUGGGGUUAAAGGGUGCGUAGGAGGGCAGGUAAGUCAGUGGUGAAAUCUCCAAGCUUAACUUGGAAACUGCCGUUGAUACUAUCUGUCUUGAAUAUUGUGGAGGUGAGCGGAAUAUGUCAUGUAGCGGUGAAAUGCUUAGAUAUGACAUAGAACACCAAUUGCGAAGGCAGCUCACUACUCAAUCAUUGACUCUGAGGCACGAAAGCGUGGGGAUCAAACAGG